rnacentral:rRNA from 1 species
UAGGGAAUAUUGGACAAUGGGUGCAAGCCUGAUCCAGCCAUGCCGCGUGAAGGAUGAAGUCUCUCGGGAUGUAAACUUCGUAAGAAUAGGAAGAAUAAAUGACGGUACUAUUUGUAAGGUCCGGCUAACUACGUGCCAGCAGCCGCGGUAAUACGUAGGGACCAAGCGUUGUUCGGAUUUACUGGGCGUAAAGGGCGCGUAGGCGGCGUGGUAAGUCACUUGUGAAAUCUCCGAGCUUAACUCGGAACGGUCAAGUGAUACUGCUGUGCUAGAGUACAGAAGGGGCAAUCGGAAUUCUUGGUGUAGCGGUGAAAUGCGUAGAUAUCAAGAGGAACACCUGAGGUGAAGACGGGUUGCUGGGCUGAUACUGACGCUGAGGCGCGAAAGCUAGGGUAGCAAACGGGAUUAGAUACCCAGGUAGUCCCUGAGCGGGCUGGCAAGGCGCAU